rnacentral:rRNA from 1 species
AUACGUAGGGGGCGAGCGUUAUCCGGAAUUAUUGGGCGUAAAGAGUACGUAGGCGGUUCUGUAAGCGUGAGGUGAAAGCCCGGGGCUUAACUCCGGUAAGCCUUUCGAACUGCAGGACUUGAGUGCUGGAGGGGAAAGUGGAAUUCCUAGUGUAGCGGUGAAAUGCGUAGAUAUUAGGAGGAACACCAGUGGCGAAGGCGACUUUCUGGACAGUAACUGACGCUGAGGUACGAAAGCGUGGGGAGCAAACAGGAUUAGAUACCCUGGUAGUCCACGCCGUAAACGAUGAUUACUAGGUGUUGGUUGUCAUAGACAAUCGGUGCCGCAGCAAACGCAAUAAGUAAUCCACCUGGGGAGUACGUUCGCAAGAAUGAAACUCAAAGGAAUUGACGGGG